rnacentral:rRNA from 1 species
UGGGGAAUUUUGGACAAUGGGCGAAAGCCUGAUCCAGCCAUGCCGCGUGAGUGAAGAAGGCCUUCGGGUUGUAAAGCUCUUUUAGUCGGAAAGAAAGAGUUGCAAUGAAUAAUUGUGAUUUAUGACGGUACCGACAGAAAAAGCACCGGCUAACUACGUGCCAGCAGCCGCGGUAAUACGGAGGGUGCGAGCGUUGUUCGGAAUUACUGGGCGUAAAGCGCGUGUAGGCGGCCUGGCAAGUCUGAUGUGAAAGCCCCGGGCUUAACCUGGGAAGUGCAUUGGAAACUGUCGGGCUUGAGUACUGGAGAGGAUGGGGGAAUUCCCGGUGUAGAGGUGAAAUUCGUAGAGAUCGGGAGGAAUAUCAGUGGCGAAGGCGCCCAUCUGGACGGUAACUGACGCUGAGACGCGAAAGCGUGGGGAGCAAACA